rnacentral:piRNA from 1 species
UCGCGUGAUCUUGAAUGAACCAAUUCUAAU